CAAUUUUCGAAUUCAAUCGUUGAUUAUUCAAAUCACAAAGCUUAUCCGAGAGAGAAUGAGUAGUGCGUGCGCCUUCUACAUUUAGCUCAAUUUGCUUCGAACAAGGAUGCUGGUUCAAGAGUUUCUGCCAAUAAUAUUGCUUUGAAAAGGAUAAUUCGUAUUGGUCUUCUCGGUGCAAGUGGCUACACUGGUGCUGAGGUACAUUCUCAACUUGUUAAUUUCAUUUUGAAUCUUUGCUUUUUUUAGUGACCUCUUUGAUUUUGAAGAGAAUCACAGCUUUUAAUAAUGGAUUCCAAGUACGCGAGGUAGAGUCAAUGAGGGACUCUACUGUAAGAUCCGGUAUAAAUUGUGUUGAUUUUUCUAGCAUCAUCUUCUCUACGGUUAUCGUUAAAAACUAAACCUCUACUGUUUGAGUAGAUCCGCCGAAUGCAAUCGACUAUAUAUGUGGAAAUGGCUCCCGGAGUUAGAACACAAGACUUGUGCCAGCAGUUAUAAUCGUCUUAUGAGAUUGUGAUAUCGUUUUUACUCUUUGUGUUGUAUGUAUCAAAGCCAGAUACUAGUUUUGUUUUACUUAUAUAUUAUGUAGGAAGAAGAGUUUGUCAAAGUUGUGGAUGAAGGAGUUGUUCCUCGAACACACAAUGUUAGAGGCUCAAACUAUUGUUUUGUGAACGUGUUCCCUGAUCGUAUACCUGGACGAGCUAUCAUAAUCUCAGUGAUUGACAAUCUUGUGAAAGGAGCUUCAAAGGAUAAUUCUAAGCACAAUGUGGCUGUUUAGAGUGCUUUUAUGAUUUAAUUUACACUCUUUAUUCAAUAAAGCACCAGAGGAAAGUCAAGUCAAGUCUAGGGAAUGCAAAAUCUACAGCCACACAGAUCAGUGAGAUAAUAAACAGAAAGAAUCCUAUCAUCUUAGAAGAUUUGUAUUAUGUAUGAUAUUAAAAAUGUAAAAAUUUGAUUAUUUGUAAGCAAGCUCAAAAGGUGAAGGAAAAUAGAUGGAUGAAGCCC